AAGAAAAAUUUAAAGAAAAAGUUGUAGAAAACAUCUGUGAAGAUUUUGAAAGUGUUCGGAUGCUCUGAACAGCUUUCCUGGUCUCCCUGAGCAUGCUCUCACAGUCAGCAUGCAUACUCAAGGUGGGGCUCCCCCCACCUGCUCUCCCACAACAGCACAUAAAAUCAAAAGGGCGAAGGAUACCACAGACAACACAUAAACAACAAGGUUCAGUCAAGAUUGAGUUAGCUGAGCUGGAGAGUAUGGGAGGACAGAAAGAAAAAGAGAAAAGGAGAAUCUGUACAGUAACACAAUCUCACCAAAGGGUAUUGGGAAAUUCCGUACUCCACAAUAAAGUCUUGCAUAGUGCAACUUGGCAAAAAAAGAAAAAAGAAAAAAGAAAAAAAAAAAAGGCUUGUCUAAUGAAGGAGAGAGUUGACAGGAGAGAAAAUCAUAUCGAGAACGCAUGUUUGGCUUGCCAUUUAAUUUCUGUCCCGCAUUUCCGCCUACUAUGGAGGUGAAGCUAGCCUGUCAGGCUCACAUCCCAGCUUGGUCAUUUGUUGGUAAGGGACUUUAAGGAUAUUACCUAUUUUGUUCCUCAGUUUCUUCAUGUCUACAAAGAACUAAUUACAGUACCUACUCCAGAAACUUAUUUAAGAUUUAUUUACUUUAGAGAGAGAGAGAACAGGUGCACAUCGGGGAGGGGCAAGGAGAGAGGGAGAGAGAAUUUCAAGCAGACACCACGCUGAGCACAGAGCCCAAGGUGGGGCCUGAUCCCACAACCCUGAGAUUGGGAUCAGAGAGCACGACCUGAGCCGAUUUGGUUGCCCAACCGACUGUGCCACCCAGGUGCCCCUACUCAGAAACUUUUAGGAACAUGAUCCACAUGAUCCAGGCAUUUCCCCCCUCUUUUCAAAGCCAUACAGCCAGUUCUAAUAAAAAGCUAGGUUUGAAAGUCACUGGAUUAGAUUAAUAUAAGAUUUGUAUAGUUUUAUGUUACGGUUGUAUACUCCAAAAUGCCAUGAACUCAACCAUAUACACAAAGGUUCUCAGUAACAAUUCAUUCUAGGAACAUACACUUCUAUUUUAAAUAAAAGGAUUUAAAGCUUCAGGGAAAUUAAGUAACAGACUCAAACCAAUGGGAGGACUUGGGGGAAGGUUUUAAUUCACCUGGAAACAUCCACAGUGCACUAUUUUCAUGCUAUUCAUACUGUAUUUUUCACAUAUGUACAAAUUUUUUAUGUAUCCUGUAACUCAUUCUGUUCCUUCUAAGCAAGAAAAUUCUCAGACUCACUACAUAAGAAUACUCCAAAGAGGAUAUUUUCUUUCACUUAUACAUAAGGAAAAUAUAAUUACGUUUUUUUUUGUUUCUGCGUCUAUAAAUUAAGAUAUGACCAUCUCUCAUCCACAGACACUUAGAGGUAUUGAGGUUACUUCCUGUGAAGGUGGUAGGCAAAAUGUUGAAAAUAAAAAUCAACAUACACUUGAAACUAACGUUUCAUUGUAUUCAACUGUAUGUUGAUUUUUUUCCCUGUUGAUUUAAACAAAGAAAGUCCAUUUUUUUAAAUCAAUAAAAGCUAGCUAAACCUGAGGCUUAUAAGGAUAGUACUCUCUUUUCUUGUUGUCAGACCUUUGCUUCUACGGAAACAAGACAGCUUCAUCAUACGACUCCCCAAAAUUCUGUACCCAAAGGGAAACUUUGUGCUCGCUGCAGUAGGAAUUUGACUUUUGCCUUAGGUGGGACUAUUAUAGUUCUUGGGUGCUCACCCUUCUAGUCUCUGGAGCACUGUUCACACACAUUUACUGCAUUUGAUUUCUGUCCUCAACUUUUAAAUCAAAGUCAAUAAAUAUUGCAUGCAUAUUGCAUCCAGAGCUACAGUUGUUUGACUUGGACAGUCCUGCUCUGGUCUAUCUAGGGACAUUCCACUUACCUAUUCUAUGAGGUUAGAGCCUCAUGAAAUUAGGUGACCACACAUGAAAGAAUGGAUGCCUCUCAAACAGACCUGUCAGGAAGAUCCAGGCUGGAGUUUACACUGUAGCAGUUACGAAGCUCAGAGAGGAGGAUGGCCGGGUCCUACAGCACAUCCACCUAGAACACCGAGGAGAGCAACUGGCUAAUUAGAAAAGAAGAGUCACCACCAUGCAAAAUGUUAAUUAUGACCAAUUUUAUUUCAUCACUGCAUUGUUGGGCACUUUAUGGUAGUAUGUAAUUCAUCCAAUAUUUGUGUUUGCAUAUUUUUAAACAAUUCCCCAAACAAUACUUUUAUGCACAAUGUCCUCCCAAUAGUAGUCAACUUUUUUCAGAGAUGAUUUAUACUGUAGCCUCAAGGAUGCAAGAACAGUGAACAAAUCUCAAUGCUGGGUAGGUUUUGACAGAUCUUUGUCACCGUGUCUAGCAAAGAGCUCAAGAUUUUCAGUCCUUUUAAACAGUUAUUCAUUUAAAGCAAAAAGAAAUAAGCUUUGGGAAAGUCCCGUUUUAACCUCUCAAGUACCUUUUAUAUAAGAAAGGACUUUAUGCAUACUAAGUUGUAGACUUCAUGGAGUUCAUACUUGUUUGCAUUGCCAUAAGUACUAAAUAAACCGUGACAGAUUCAGGAGAUCUUGCUUUUGGUAUACGAUCACUAAAUGGUUCUCAAAAUAACCACCUGGAAGUGACACCACCUGAAGGAUGGUGAUAGGAUACUUGCGGUCAUUUAGCAUGCACGGAGUUCUAAUUCUAGCCUGUCCUAAACAUCACAGAACCAACCAGAGGGUGGAUUUGUUAAGGUACCCCAUUAAGGCUCUCAUCUGGGAAGCGAAAUAACACGGAGACACAAGAGACCCAAAGGUUUCUCACAUCAAAGAGGUAAUCAUUUGCGACUUUGCAGCCUUUUAACAGUAAAAGAUUGUGUAUUUUAAAUUACUUGACUAAAGUAUGGUUUGAGAAAAACCCCACAGCUUUCUGGAUAUAAGGCAUCCAGUUAACAUUGCUGCUCAGUACCUUAAUUUUUUGGUAUGUUUGCAUAUUGCAUCCAGAGCUACAGAUUUUCCACAGUGCUUUUCUGCCUCAUUCAAGUAUAAUAAAAGUAGAAAUCUAUAGAAGCUCUAAGGUUAAACAAACUGUACAUUAUACAAAAAAUUAACUUAAUUUACAGACAGUCAAGAAGUAUUGGCAAUGCCCUUUAUAAAUCUUACCAAAGAUUCAUCACAAAGGAUAUUACAAUCUACACAUGUGGUCAUCACCAUACAAAUGCCGUUUAGAUUUAUGUGGUACAGAACUGAAUAUUUGUUAAAUGUACAUGUGUAGAAUCAGCAUUUUGCAUUAUAUACACUUUUUUUUUAAAGUAAUAGUAUUGUCAAUACUAACCUAAGGUUCAGGAUUUUCUUAUUGCAUAUUUAUUGUCGCUGAGGCAGUUAGUUAUGAUACAAUAAUGCAAUAUCCAUAAUUAUCUUAAAUAAACAAAAACAUUUCUCCUGCCAACAAUAUAAAGAUUUUUUUCUAAAAUCACAUAGAACAUUGCUACAUACAGUUUUACACAAAUACUGAAAAACAUGACCUUAAGGCAUCUGCUACCAAAGCAGAUGUGCAUAUUUAUAUGAACUAAAUUAUGCAGGAAAAAUAUUGCACAGAAUCCUAUUAUUUUCAAAAUAAAAUAUGCUUCUUUCUAAAUACACAUAAUUCCUUAUAACUUGACCAAAUGAAAAUGCUAACCUGUUUGCUCAAAACAAUUCUGCCUCUUACAUAAGCUUUAAAAAACAGACACUAACAAAGUACUGGACUCAACACAGGAAAGAUGUGAGUACUGACACAGAAUCUGUAAAAGCUGUUUCCUUAUAUUAAGAAGUGCUUUGGGGAAUUAGACUUGGGUAUUCAUUUUACUUUCUGAAAUUUGUGUUCUGACUUACAAAUAUCUACGCAGAAUCAGGGUCUUUUAUGCUAAACAAAAUGGAAUUUGCAUUAGAAAAUGUAUUCAUGAAAAUAAUCUUUUCCUGAAAAUCCAGAUUUUCUAGAUGAGAAGGAAGAGCUACUGCUGAUUAUGAGAAUAUUCACAGUUUUCUCCCCUUGAUCAGGAUCUACUUUAAGAAACAACUAAUUCAUGAACACUCCUGGAUCCUAUUAAUAGGAUAUUAGCACAGAGUCCGUAUGACAGCACUGUUACAUAUGGUUUUAAGAGGCGGGGACAGGGGAGGCUAUUUUUCGGGAACGCUAUUAUCAAGAUAAAGACAGUAAAAACUAGUUUCAACAUGCACCUACACCCUCAGUUAAUCCUAAAGUAAGAUAAAGUGGCCUAAGUAUUGCAAAGGAGCAUCAUUCCAUUAUAGAGCUCUAUGCUGCCUGGCCCAAAGAUGGAGCAUUGUGGUGACAGAGAAUCAGAGAAACAAGGACACUUAGUUUCUAAGAGCCUCUAAGUCUGUCCUUUAAAAGUAGGUAUCUUAAAAUAGCAGCAUUGUUAUACUUUGUUAAAAUAAUACAGUUAAUGAAAUUAGAAAUGAUACUGUGGUUCUAUCUAGAGCAUGUUUUAGAUUAAGCAGCUUUAAAAGGACUUUUUUUUUUUGGUGUUAGAAUCUUGGGUUAAUAACUUCUAAGUAAUCAUUUAUUAACAGAGAUUUGUCAUUUCUUUUCCUCUUAAUUGGUUCCUUCAUAGCAGGGACUAUAUUAAUUAUUUUAUUUCCUUAUAUCCCCAGUUACUGUACCUUGCAUGCAAUGGUACAAAGAGUCAAAAAUAUUUCCUAAAUGGACAAGUUAUUAAUUUUUAUAGAGAGAAAUCAUUCUGCUAUAUUUUGGUGCCUUCCUAAAAUAUGCCAAACUAGGUAACCAUCAAAAUCUACCACUUAACAUCACGUUGACUUAACAAAACAAUAGCUCCUAAAUUCACAACUCUUCUAUCCACCCCCUGACAUAUCAUGGAUGCAAUACUUAAGGACAAAAAGGAUAAAAGCUAGAGUGGGAUUCAGGGAGAAUCAUGACGGUUUGGAGGCCACAUAAAAGACCAUGCACGAAAGCUAACAUCUUAUUCAUUUAUAUAACUGUUGUAGAACAGGUAUAGCUUCUUUGAAAAACAAAUCCGAACGGCAGAGGAGUCUACAAAUACUUCAUUCAGUUAUAAUAGAAAAUAUGAACAAAGGAGAAAAUAAGACAAUACUUUUGUUUCAGAAUUCACUUUAACUUCAUUUUAUUCUCCCUAUAACCACCAUAAUACUAGGAAGUCUAGUUUAAGAGCAAGCUUUGAAUACGUAAAAUAUUAAUGAUUUGAAAAAUUAAUACUCUUGGAAAAGCAGUCUCUUGGAUACUAGUCCUUUGGAUGUUUUCCAAGAAUAACAUGUAGAGCUUUUGUUUUUGCUUUUUUUAAAUAUUGAAUAUAAAAGCUUUGCAUGUUAAAAUAAGGCACAAAUCCAGUUCAAAAUACCUUCACGCAAGUGUACUUGUGAGUGGCUAAAUAUCCUCGCAGCAACACGUCUUGUAGUCAAACAUCUCAUGAGGUGACCAGAUGAUAGAAGAACCUGCAUUUCUGAGGUCAUGAUGUUUAUUAAGCAAAUGGACAAAAACUCUAAUUUUACCUAAGCUACACUAAUAAUUAUCUCAUUCUUCAGACUAUGAAUUCUGAAGGAAAACAUGCCUCAUUCCAAUAGUCAUAUUGAAAGAUCUUUUUUCAAAAAUUAUGAAGAAAUAUUUGCCAAGCAUAUUAACAACCCGAGUGACCUUUUUUCCUUUUCAUUUAAUAAAACAGCUCUUCUGAUAAAUCGACUUAUUACAUGCUUUGACAAAGUGAAAUGUAAUUUUGUAAUGGGUAUAUAGACAAGAUUUGACAAGAACUGCGAGUCUUACUUUUAUAUUAAUAAAAUAAAGAUUAAACACUUUUUUUUCCUUAGAAGGAAGGAAAACAAGAUUUGUCUUUACUAACAUGACUGAAUAAUUGUCCCCCAUAAAACAUAUCUGUUUAGGUUUUGGAAUGUGGUUUAAAGAAGAAAAAAACUUGGUCAUUUUCUUUAAAUUACUUAAAGAUUGACCUGGACAAAUAUUUUUAAGCAAUGUUUUUAACAAAUUCAUUUCUAGGACUUUUAAACUAAAAACUAAAUUCUUUCAGUAAAUAUUUUAGGGGGGUACAGUCCUGAUAGGGUUCUUGGAUAGUUUCUCAAAUAUUUUUUCUAAAAUGACAAUUUUUAAAAAAUAAUCAUGAUUGGGGAUGUACAGAGUAUAUAUUGAAUACACAAAUAUCCAAUUAAUCAUAACAGCACUGGGGUUUUUUUCCUGUCAGUCUAGCCUAUCAUGAAAGAGUCAAUGCAUGCAUGAUUCCUUUGGAGAUGAAUUUCGGUGUUUCACAGUGAAUUUCAGGGAGAGGAGACAAAUCUCCUAUGCAAAAAGAAUCCCAAAUAAUUUAUGUAGAUUCUCCCCAAGGGAGACGAAGCAUAAAGCCCUACUCCUUAAGUUUGGGCUAUACACAGUGACUUCCUUCCAAAGACUACAACAUAGAAAGAGAGGGAAAAGGGUAUAGUGGAAAAACCUAACACCACCUCCUAGGUUAUCAAAGUCAACAUUAACAUUCACAAAUCAUGCUGACAUUAUGUACCUUGGAUAUGAUGCAAUGAAAACGACACUUUACUUCUGUAAUCUUCCUAUCCCAAGCCCACAAUCACAGUGUAAUUAUUAGAAAAAUAGCAGACAAAUUCUAAUAGAGGGAUAUUCUAUAACAUAAUUGACCAGCAGAUCGUUACUCUUCAAACCUAUCAAGGUCAUCAGAAACAAGUUAAAUCUGAGAAAAUGUCACAGCCAAGAGGACUCUAAAGACACAUGACAACCAAAUGUAAUGUGGUAUCUUUGAAUGGGAUUCUGGAACAGAAAAAAAGACAUUAGGGAAAAAACGAAGGAAAUCUGAAUAAAGCAUGGACUAUCAAUAUUGGUUCACUAAUUGCAGCAAAUGUACCAUACUGAUGUAGGAUAUUAAUCAUAGAGGAAACUAUACACAGGGACAAAAUGGGAACUCUCUGUACUUUCUUCAUAAUAUUUCUAUAGAUCUAAAACUUCUAAAGUAUAAAGUCAAUUAUGAUGAGAAACAUUUUGAUAGAGAGUUAUUAUGU
rnacentral:lncRNA from 1 species